rnacentral:rRNA from 1 species
GGUUGACCUCGGAUCAGGUAGGGAUACCCGCUGAACUUAAGCAUAUCAAUAAGCGGAGGAAAAGAAACCAACAGGGAUUGCCCCAGUAACGGCGAGUGAAGCGGCAAGAGCUCAAAUUUGAAAGCUGACUCCUUCGGGGUCCGCAUUGUAAUUUGCAGAGGAUGCUUCGGGAGCGGUCCCCAUCUAAGUGCCCUGGAACGGGACGUCAUAGAGGGUGAGAAUCCCGUAUGGGAUGGGGUGUCCGCGCCCGUGUGAAGCUCCUUCGACGAGUCGAGUUGUUUGGGAAUGCAGCUCUAAAUGGGUGGUAAAUUUCAUCUAAAGCUAAAUAUUGGCCGGAGACCGAUAGCGCACAAGUAGAGUGAUCGAAAGAUGAAAAGCACUUUGAAAAGAGAGUUAAAAAGCACGUGAAAUUGUUGAAAGGGAAGCGCUUGCGACCAGACUCGCUCGCGGGGUUCAGCCGGCAUUCGUGCCGGUGUACUUCCCCGCGGGCGGGCCAGCGUCGGUUUGGGCGGUCGGUCAAAGGCCCUCGGAAGGUAACGCCCCCAGGGGCGUCUUAUAGCCGAGGGUGCAAUGCGACCUGCCUAGACCGAGGAACGCGCUUCGGCUCGGACGCUGGCAUAAUGGUCGUAAGCGACC